rnacentral:rRNA from 1 species
AUUGAACGCUGGCGGCAUGCCUUACACAUGCAAGUCGAACGGCAGCACGGGAGCUUGCUCUUGGUGGCGAGUGGCGAACGGGUGAGUAAUGCAUCGGAACGUAUCUGGAAGUGGGGGAUAACGUAGCGAAAGUUACGCUAAUACCGCAUAUUCUGUGAGCAGGAAAGCAGGGGAUCGCAAGACCUUGCGCUUUCGGAGCGGCCGAUGUCGGAUUAGCUAGUUGGUGAGGUAAAAGCUCACCAAGGCGACGAUCCGUAGCGGGUCUGAGAGGAUGAUCCGCCCCACUGGGACUGAGACACGGCCCAGACUCCUACGGGAGGCAGCAGUGGGGAAUUUUGGACAAUGGGCGCAAGCCUGAUCCAGCCAUGCCGCGUGAGUGAAGAAGGCC